rnacentral:lncRNA from 1 species
UUUAAAGGGUUGGGCUGGAUCAGCUAUAUUGUGUUCCAUUUUUUGGCUGGGUCUAGUCCGAUUCGGCCCAUCAAAUUUUAGGUCCUUGUAGGCAGACCGGAUCGGAUUAGGCUAACCUAUUUUGAUAGUAUUAUUAUUGACUAAUAUAAUAUUAUGAUCAACAUUUAACUACUGUUAUUUCUGUUUCUCUCUGUAUAUUCAACAGGGAGGAUUGAGGAAGCUAAAGUCCUCUCCAAAAUUUAAUAAAAAUUGGAAAACUCAUAGAAAAGAUAAGCAAAUAAAGGAAAAUAUAUGACUUUAGGAAA